rnacentral:rRNA from 1 species
GGCGGACGGGUGAGUAAUGCAUAGGAAUCUGCCCAGUAGCGGGGGACAACUUGGGGAAACUCAAGCUAAUACCGCAUACGCCCUACGGGGGAAAGCGGGGGACCUUCGGGCCUCGCACUAUUGGAUGAGCCUAUGUCAGAUUAGCUUGUUGGUAGGGUAAAGGCCUACCAAGGCGACGAUCUGUAGCUGGUCUGAGAGGACGAUCAGCCACACUGGGACUGAGACACGGCCCAGACUCCUACGGGAGGCAGCAGUGGGGAAUAUUGCACAAUGGGCGAAAGCCUGAUGCAGCAAUGCCGCGUGUGUGAAGAAGGCCUGCGGGUUGUAAAGCACUUUCAGUUGGGAGGAAAAGCAAUGGGCCAAUACCCCGUUGUCUUGACGUUACCUACAGAAGAAGCACCGGCUAACUCUGUGCCAGCAGCCGCGGUAAUACAGAGGGUGCAAGCGUUAAUCGGAAUUACUGGGCGUAAAGCGCGCGUAGGCGGUUUGGUCAGUCGGAUGUGAAAGCCCCGGGCUUAACCUGGGAAUUGCAUUCGAUACUGCCAAACUA